rfam:Streptococcus sobrinus W1703 genomic scaffold Scaffold38, whole genome shotgun sequence.
GAUUCGUUGAUUUAAAUCAAACCUGUUAUGAUUUAAGUUAAUGAGCCACCACCAACCAUGCUGUUUGCUGAGCUUGACUCCGAGCAGUGUGGUUAUUUU